UCCAAAUAAUACCAUACCCACGUAUUUACCUCCAACUGCACACGAACUUUAAACCUUCAAGAGGUUUACCAACCCAGCGUCAAAUUGCUAUAUGAAUGCUGUCCUUCAAUGCAUGUUCAACAUUUUCAAUGAGUACAUUCAGGAGAUUGCGACAAGAACUGUUGCUGGAUUAGUAAGUACAGAGUAGACUCUUUAAUAUAGGGAGAUAGAAUCAAUCCACAUAAAAGGUGCUUGAAUGGAUGUACUGUGCCAUCACAAUCCAGGUCAUCUGUAGCAUUGGUGCAAAUGGAAGGGUACUGAGUGGCUACUCAUACAUGCAAAGUUGCUCUACAUCUGCCACAGUACAUCUUGUUUACCAGAUGUAUCAUUAAGGACAUAAAGAAGGGGCAACAAUAUGAUGCUCACGAAUUCUACUUGGCUCUUUUAGCUAGCUUCGAGGGGAAAGUAGAUAUCUCUCUUUAUCUAUGGUGUCAGGUAUUAAUUUAGAAGUCAUCAUUUGACGUGUGAUAUUUGUGUACAUUAUAUCGCAUGCGUUCAAUUGCCAUAGAACAGUACAGUAUAGUAGUUACAGAGUCACUAUAAUUACUACAGAUGCCUUGACAUGAAGCUAGAAUUGGAGACAAGUAAUGAACUGGGGGCGUUACCAAAAUGCCUCUGUAUUCACGUAAAUCAACCAAGAUACACACGUAAGUUUCAAACGGGGUGAACAAAGAGUUCUCAUACAGAAAUUGUACAAACUUCAAAGUCCAAAUUCAGACGAGUACUCUCUACGUUCCAAGCAAACAAAGUGUGUAGACAUUGAUGACAGUUGUAUAGUACACAAUCAGUUGACUGUCACACUGGGACAUUACACAGCCUUCUUUCGGUCAAUCAAGGAUCAAUCUAAAUGGUUUCGUGCAAGUGACAGUGAUGUGAGCUUAGCAACUGUAUUGCAACAAAUGUUGAAUUGGUUCAAGGUAAGUACGUAUGUACUGCAGUUAGAAACCGCA